rnacentral:misc_RNA from 1 species
AACGCACCUUGCGCUUCUCGGUACCCAUUCCAAGAAGCAUGUCUGUUUGAGUGUCAUAAAAUUCUCAAAUCAUAUCCUACAUUUAUUAUUAUGGUUUGGAUUUGACUUGGGUUGUGGAAGCCUGUGGGCUUGAAAAAAGUCUGCUCUUCUGAAAUGUAUCAGCAAAAGUUCAAUUUUGGAUCUUUUUUGGUAUGAUAAUUAUUAUAUAUGCCAAGAAGAUUUGAAUAAUUUGUCGCAGCUUUUGCCUCUAGCUGUCUUUUGGUGGACAAAAAAUAAAAUGUAUUUAUUGACAAUGUGACCUCAAAUCAGAUAGGACUACCCGCUGAACUUAA